rnacentral:rRNA from 1 species
CACGCCGUAAACGAUGAAUACUAGGUGUAGGAGGUAUCGACUCCUUCUGUGCCGCAGCUAACGCAAUAAGUAUUCCGCCUGGGAAGUACGAUCGCAAGAUUAAAACUCAAAGGAAUUGACGGGGACCCGCACAAGCAGCGGAGCAUGUGGUUUAAUUCGAAGCAACGCGAAGAACCUUACCUGGACUUGACAUCCCCUGAAUAACUCGUAAUGGAGGAAGCCCUUCGGGGCAGGGAGACAGGUGG